GUGGACCCGUGAUCCGGGUUGCGGACAGUGUCUGGUGGGUAGUUUGACUGGGGCGGUCUCCUCCUAAAGAGUAACGGAGGAGCACGAAGGUUGGCUAAUCCUGGUCGGACAUCAGGAGGUUAGUGCAAUGGCAUAAGCCAGCUUGACUGCGAGCGUGACGGCGCGAGCAGGUGCGAAAGCAGGUCAUAGUGAUCCGGUGGUUCUGAAUGGAAGGGCCAUCGCUCAACGGAUAAAAGGUACUCCGGGGAUAACAGGCUGAUACCGCCCAAGAGUUCAUAUCGACGGCGGUGUUUGGCACCUCGAUGUCGGCUCAUCACAUCCUGGGGCUGAAGUAGGUCCCAAGGGUAUGGCUGUUCGCCAUUUAAAGUGGUACGCGAGCUGGGUUUAGAACGUCGUGAGACAGUUCGGUCCCUAUCUGCCGUGGGCGCUGGAGAACUGAGGGGGGCUGCUCCUAGUACGAGAGGACCGGAGUGGACGCAUCACUGGUGUUCGGGUUGUCAUGCCAAUGGCACUGCCCGGUAGCUAAAUGCGGAAGAGAUAAGUGCUGAAAGCAUCUAAGCACGAAACUUGCCCCGAGAUGAGUUCUCCCUGACCCUUUAAGGGUCCUGAAGGAACGUUGAAGACGACGACGUUGAUAGGCCGGGUGUGUAAGCGCAGCGAUGCGUUGAGCUAACCGGUACUAAUGAACCGUGAGGCUUAACCUUACAACGCCGAAGGUGUUU
rnacentral:rRNA from 1 species